UUGCUUCAGCAGCACAUAUACUAAAAUUGUAAUGAUACAGAGAAGAUCACCAUGGCCCCUGCACAAGGAUGACAUGCAAAUUCGUGAAGCGUUCCAUAUUUUU
rnacentral:snRNA from 1 species